UCUCAGAUAUUCCUUCAGUACCUCCAGGGAUUACUAAUUAGCCUUAAUUCAAAGUAAACAGCCAUUCAUUUUUGAGGGAGAAAAAGAGAUGAAGAGCUCAGAGAUGGGAAGAAGGAAGCUGCCCUUCUGUCUUGGUAUAAAAAAGGAAGAAAUACGUGGUCCAUUGGAGAGUUCAGUUACUCCUGGGCAUAUUCAUGAAUAAAUUGGCCUGAGAACAAAGAGAACACACACAGAAGGACUGAGAGAGAUGGGCUGAACUGGAAGGACAGAGUCAGAAGGACCUGGCUGGAGAGCGGCUGAGCUGAAAAGUCUGGAUUGAGAGAAGGAGAACUGAGCUAAGUAGAACUGAGCCAACAAGAUCUGGGCUGAGAAGAAAUGUAGAGAUGAAUAACUUAUGUAACAUAAGAGAGCAAUGUGCAGAAUGCAGGGGAAAAGAGGAAAAAAGAAGAAGCUGGAAAGAACAGAAGGUGCAGAAAAUUUUCAUGACUUCAACACAAAAUGGCCAUUAGGAACAGAAGAAAACACAAAUAAGGAAAGGCGGAAAAUGAUUGACACAUGCACUGUUCUUGGUUUGAAAAAUAACAAUCAUGCGAGUUAUAGGAUAGAGCUUUGAAAGUGGAGUCAAUGAGAGGAUGAAAAAUACUGAGGAAGAGUAGGUGAAUUGAAUUCUUGCUACAUGAAA